AGCGAAAUAAUAGUAGCGAAGUUCCUGAUGUCACACUGCCAAGAAAAGCUUCUAGUGAGAAAACAACUGCCCGUACCGUAAACCGACACAGGUAGUCGAGGAGAGUAUCCUAAGGUGAGCGAGCGAACUCUCGUUAAGGAACUCGGCAAAAUGACCCCGUAACUUCGGGAGAAGGGGUGCUGACUUCGGUCAGCCGCAGUGAAUAGGCCCAAGCGACUGUUUAUCAAAAACACAGGUCUCUGCAAAAUCGUAAGAUGAAGUAUAGGGGCUGACGCCUGCCCGGUGCUGGAAGGUUAAGAGGAUGGGUUAGCUUCGGCGAAGCUCAGAAUUGAAGCCCCAGUAAACGGCGGCCGUAACUAUAACGGUCCUAAGGUAGCGAAAUUCCUUGUCGGGUAAGUUCCGACCCGCACGAAAGGCGUAACGAUUUGGGCACUGUCUCAACGAGAGACUCGGUGAAAUUUUAGUACCUGUGAAGAUGCAGGUUACCCGCGACAGGACGGAAAGACCCCAUGGAGCUUUACUGUAGUUUGAUAUUGAGUGUUUGUACCACAUGUACAGGAU
rnacentral:rRNA from 1 species